rnacentral:rRNA from 1 species
UACAUGGGGUGCAAACGUUGCUCGGAAUUAUUGGGCGUAAAGCGCGCGUAGGCGGUUACUUAAGUCGGAUGUGAAAGCCCUCGGCUUAACUGAGGAAGUGCACCCGAAACUGAGUAGCUAGAGUACGAAAGAGGGUCGCGGAAUUCCCGGUGUAGAGGUGAAAUUCGUAGGUAUCGGGAGGAACACCGGUGGCGAAGGCGGCGACCUGGGUCGAGACUGACGCUGAGGCGCGAAAGCGUGGGGAGCAAACAGG